rnacentral:rRNA from 1 species
UACGUAGGGGGCAAGCGUUGUCCGGAUUUAUUGGGCGUAAAGCGCGCGCAGGCGGUCUACCAAGUUCGGAGUGACAGUUUCCGGCUUAACCGGAAAAGGUCUUCGAAAACUGGUGGACUUGAGGACUUGAGGGGGAGACGGAAUUCCGGGUGUAGUGGUGGAAUGCGUAGAGAUCCGGAGGAACACCAGCGGCGAAGGCGGCAUCCUGGACUGGUCCUGACACUCAUGAGCGAAAGCGUGGGGAGCGAUCCGG